rnacentral:rRNA from 1 species
UACGUAGGGUCCGAGCGUUGUCCGGAAUUAUUGGGCGUAAAGAGCUCGUAGGCGGUUUGUUGCGUCGGCUGUGAAAUCCCUCGGCUUAACCGGGGAACUGCGUCUGAUACUGGAUGGCUUGAGUUUGGGAGAGGGAUGCGGAAUUCCAGGUGUAGCGGUGAAAUGCGUAGAUAUCUGGAGGAACACCGGUGGCGAAGGCGGCAUCCUGGACCAAUACUGACACUGAGGAGCGAAAGCCAGGGGAGCAAACGGG